AGGUAUUUGAUAAUGAGUCCAUUAACUCAAUAAUCAUUGCAGACCCAAAGGCCUGGUGCUUGUUGACUAAUGGAAUUAUCACUCAUCAUAUGAUGACUUGGAAGUGCUCUCUAAUGGUGGUUAGGUGAGCCAACCAAAGUUGGGCUUAAUCAUUCGUUGGUUAGAUGCACUAAGUAUGGUCAUGUUAAUGGUUGGACCUAAUCGGAUCCUUAUAGUGGAGGCC
rnacentral:lncRNA from 1 species